CGUUAGGGCCCCAACACAGCACAGCCCCAUAGCACCAACUGCCACGACAGACAUGGCACUGGACCGCAAAGGCCAGAUAACAAACAGGACCAGAGGCGGGACCCCACACCGCAUGGCGAUGGGACAAACCCCGAAGACACUAGGCCUUCACCCCAGGCUCCCCCCCCCCGACUAAACAACUGAAACCCAACACAAGCAGAGAGGGAGCUAACAGUGAGAAUACCCACUCCCCCCCACCUACG